GGUGCAGUGGCCAAGUGGUAAGGCGUCGGUCUCGUAAACCGAAGAUCAUGGGUUCGACCCCCAUCUGUACCU